AUGGAGUUCGCGGAGACGGGGAUCAGUUUGUUGGUGCGUGGUUCUGGAUCUAGGCCAUCCAAUGACUCGACCGAGCCGCCAAUCUCACCAGAUUCGUCGGGGUUUUCAAGGCAUCCGGGAGCCAUGGGCACGGUGCGAGAGUUCGUGGAAGAUGACCCGAGCGGCCGAUUCGCCGAUUUAUUGGAUACAGUCGAAGGUGUUGUACCAGACGGCAGUGAUUCAGAUGAGAAAAAGUCCACCAGGGCGGAAAACAUAUAUGUAACGAUGGACGACAAAGUUGGCUGGGUUAGCAGGAAACGGAGGGAUGUCAUGCCAGACGAAAGAUCAACAAGUGCAGACAGGGUCAUCGCGCUGGAAAAAGCGCUAACCGGGUUUGCAGAUAAUCAUUCAGAAACUGUGGUGAUCCCGUCAGUUGGGCUGACAUUUGAUUCAAUAAACGAGGCGUAUGAGUUCUACAACCUGUACUCUUGGGAAACUGGAUUUGGGGUUCGGUAUGCAAAGAGCAGGUCUAAUGUAAAAGGAACAAAAUGCAUGCAGGAGUUCGUCUGCUGCUACUCGGGCAAACCAAAAGAAGCAAAUUCGAAAUCUUCACGAUGCCAAUGCCAGGCCAUGAUAAGGCUCCUCCGAACUGAUGAUGAAGGAUGGUACAUCAACGAAUUUAGGUCCAAUCACAACCACCACAUGCUGAAUACUUGUGCUGAGAAGUUGCGUUUCCCCUCGCAUAGACAUAUUGACAAAUACACUAGAGAGCUAGUUUCCCAACUGAGACAGAACAAUGUAAACGUGAGCAAGGUUUAUAGUAUAAUCGCAACAUUUUUUGGUAGAGUUGAGAAUGUGCCAUUCACCAAGAGAUGUUUAAGGACUCUGUGUGGAAAGCUCAGCAGAGAGCAGGCUGAUGAUGAUGUGCGAAACACGAUGGCUAUUUUUUCAGAAAUGAAAGCACAAGAUGGCGAGUUCACGUACAAUGUUCAGGUAGAUGAUGAGAGUAGGAUACGAACGCAUAUGUGGACAAACGGUCGUAGCAAAACACAGUUCCAUCACUUUGGUGAUGUUGUCACUUUUGACACCACAUACAAAACCAACCUGUAUGAUAUGCCUUUUGGCCUGUUUGUGGGGGUGAAUAAUCAUUUUCAAAGUGUGCUUUAUGCGGGGGUUUUGAUGCGAGAUGAGACUGAGGAUACAUUCAAAUGGAUUUUCGACGAAUUCAUGAAGAUGAUGGGUGGUAAAAAACCAAUUACAAUUUUAACAGAUCAAGCUAGAGCCAUGGAAAAGGCGAUCGAGGAUGUGUAUCCCAAUUCGACGCAUCGCUGGUGCAAAUGGCAUGUUCUGAAGAAGGCUAAAGAAAAUCUAGGUGCUCAUUACACCAAGAAGUCAGAUUUCAGGGCUGAAUUCCACAAGCUUGUUCACGAGAUGCUGACAAUUGAUGAAUUCGAGGACGGCUGGGCAGCACUACUUGACAAAUAUUCACUGAAAAACAAUCCAUAUCUUACACAGAUAUACGAGACUAGGCUGAAGUGGGCAAAACCUUACUUUGCCGGGAAAUUUUGUGCUAGGCAAACCAGCACUGGCAGGAGCGAAACUGCAAACCACAUGUUGAAGCAGUACGUCCCUCCGUCGUGUUCAAUGAAUCUUUUUGUCAAACAAUACAACAAGCUCCAGUUCGACCGAGAACAGGAAGAAGGUUUCCAAGAGAAACGCACAAGACUGAGUCGCGCUGUGCUCAAGGUGAAUACCGCUCUUGAAGUCCAUGCGAGCAAGAUAUAUACCAGGAAGAUGUUCGAGAUUUUAGGGGAGAUACUGUAUGAAUCUGGAAGAUAUGAUGUUGAAGAAAUCAUAGCAAAGCAAAAAUACAUAGUUACGCACCAGAAAGCCGAGCACCGUGAGAAGUGGUUCAAGUGCCGUUUUGAGGUUAAUGUGACUGAUAACCUUGGUUAUUUUUCGUGCAUCUGUGGCCUGUUCGAGCACAUGGGCAUGGUUUGUUGCCAUUCGUUGCAGGUGAUGGUUUUCCUACGUCUGAAGCAGAUACCUCCCAGGCACAUAUUGAAAAGGUGGAGCAUACACGGUAGAGACAACCUGCCUGGGCACCUGAAGCACUAUCAGCAAGACAUGGGGCCACCGGACGCACCCACUUUCAGGCAUUCUGCUCUGUACAUCACCGCGCUGGAGGUUGCAAAUAUGGGCGAUAGGAACCCGGCGGCUUUUGAGUUUAUGAUGUCGGGCCUGGUUGAACUGAGAACAAGAGGUGGUGAGGUAUGUGCGUUCAACGAUGGGCUGGGCGUCGUUGAGCAGCAGGUCUCCAACAAUGCAGUUGCUGUAGGUCCGAAGUUGAACACAAUUUCCUCUGUAAGAAGUGUGGAAGGCAAUCGAACCAAAUCGCGUGAUGCCACAUCAGUGUCCGUGCAUCCUCCAAUGAGUCAGGCCUCAGAAGCAUCAUGCCCGAAUGGUGAUGGGUACAAUUCAGAAUUCUCCGAAGCCGCAUCACGGCUAAUGACCAACACUGAAGAAGAAUUGCUUGCACCGGAAAGAAACAAGAAACGAGGUCGACCAACUACCAGCCGUGACAAAGCUCCUUAUGAGAAGGACAGCGCAAAAAGAUCUAGGUUCUGUUCCGUCUGCAGGGGCAAAGGGCACAAAUCCAGCACUUGCCCUGAUAGAGGCGACGUCCCAAAAAAGGAAAGGAAGGUGGCAACAUGCGGCAAAUGCGGGGUUCCAGGGCACCGAAGGACGACUUGCAGCAAGCCUCUCAUGUCGACGAUGGCCGGUGUCCCUCCUUCACAUUAG
rnacentral:rRNA from 1 species